rnacentral:rRNA from 1 species
GACGAAGGGGGCUAGCGUUGUUCGGAAUUACUGGGCGUAAAGCGUGCGCAGGCGGUUCGUUAAGUCAGAUGUGAAAGCCCCGGGCUCAACCUGGGAACUGCAUUUGAAACUGGCGGGCUUGAGUAUGGCAGAGGGGGGUGGAAUUCCGCGUGUAGCAGUGAAAUGCGUAGAGAUGCGGAGGAACACCGAUGGCGAAGGCAGCCCCCUGGGCCAAUACUGACGCUCAGGCACGAAAGCGUGGGGAGCAAACAGG